AGCCUCCUGAGGUGAGUAAUGUUUGAUAGCCGAGAAGGCGGAAUACUCUGCUCAUCACCAGACAAGAGUCAGAGAGAGGCAGAUAUGCAGCUACUGAACUGAGUCAAGAGAUACCCUGAAAGGAAGGAGAAGAGCCUGAGAGAUUUCUGAAGUUCUGAGAAUUAUAGCAGCUUCACUUAUGAGGAGACAGGCUGGGCAGAAGCAAGCCCCAGGCCCAGUUACCACUUGAUUUGGAAAUCGUUUUGGACUGUCCGACACAAUUAUGACUGAAAUCAAGUUUAAGGCCUGACACCUAGUGGCAGUUUAUAGGCAGCGUUCUUCAAGGCAAACCGAAAGAAACUUCAGGAUGUAGUAACUGUGGAGAAACGCUUACAACCGGACUUGCCGUUAGCCCGAAGACAAAAGAACUGUCGUCUGGACAGAAGUGCUCACCGCUGCACAGAACUCUGCCAAGGCCACUCUGAGGCAUCACAUCUGAGUCCUGGGAGCUAAACACACCCACAGUUGUGGUUCUCCCUUGCAAUUCGGAUCUACUGGCUUGCCCUGGAUCCAUCUUACAACCCUGUUCUAUUGAAUCAAGAUCUGGAUGACACAUUGUCUUGGCAGUUGCAAAGCUCCCAGGUCGUCUUCAGGGCCUGAUGACAGAAACGGAUCCACUUCCAAGACAAAUGCUCAUAUUUACAAAUAUUUUACACACUAUUUUGGAACAUUCUUGACAUGCUUCCUCCGCUGAAGUCCAUAGAUUUCAGACGUCCUUCUAGUUCCCGGUUGGACAGUGAACACCUGCGCCCUCCAGCUGAAGAGCAACGUGGAAAGUCUGGAUUAGAGGAAGGAGCGCUGUUUGUUCCCUGCACAUAUUUUCAGGGUCUAAGCACAGUCAGCGCCAUCUGAAGUUUGGUUCAGCAGAAUUGAGGAAAUCUUGGCCUCCACAAAGAAGAAAAGUCCUAAACUGGAAAAGUGUUAAAACUACAGAACUCCAAAACAUACUUAAUCCUGGUGUGAUGCACGAAACAGGACUAAGAAAAGAUUCCCCACAGGAAAACAAGAGAUAUUAUUUGUCCAACACUGUCUUGUGGACUAUAAGUAGAAAGAAGACAGAAAAGUGCUGCAAUAUUCUCAAUAACCUGUUCAAUGGAGAGAACUCGCUGAAGACUGUUGGAUUCAGUGGCAUGUAAGAUACCCGGGAAGUAGAGAAGACUGGUGGAAGUGAAUCAUUUGGAAUCCUAAAGAGCAGCCAGAUGUCCCUUCUUCAUACAGG
rnacentral:lncRNA from 1 species